rnacentral:rRNA from 1 species
GNACCACCCAUGUGAACCAUACCAAAACUGUUUGCCUCGGCGGGGUCACGCCCCGGGUGCGUCGCAGCCCCGGAACCAGGCGCCCGCCGGAGGGACCAACCAAACUCUUUUCUGUAGUCCCCUCGCGGACGUUAUUUCUUACAGCUCUGAGCAAAAAUUCAAAAUGAAUCAAAACUUUCAACAACGGAUCUCUUGGUUCUGGCAUCGAUGAAGAACGCAGCGAAAUGCGAUAAGUAAUGUGAAUUGCAGAAUUCAGUGAAUCAUCGAAUCUUUGAACGCACAUUGCGCCCGCCAGUAUUCUGGCGGGCAUGCCUGUCCGAGCGUCAUUUCAACCCUCGAACCCCUCCGGGGGGUCGGCGUUGGGGAUCGGGAACCCCUAAGACGGGAUCCCGGCCCCKAAAUACAGUGGCGGUCUCGCCGCANCCUCUCCUGCGCAGUAGUUUGCACAACUCGCACCGGGAGCGCGGCGCGUCCACGUCCGUANAACACCC